UGCCAGCCGCCGCGGUAAUACGGGAGUGGCAAGCGUUAUCCGGAAUUAUUGGGCGUAAAGGGUUCGUAGGCGGUUUAAUAAGUUGGAUAUGAAAGACCGGAGCUCAACUUCGUGUUUGUGUUCAAAACUGUUAAACUAGAAUCAGGGAGAGGUAAGUAGAAUUCUAAGUGUAGGGGUGCAAUCCGUAGAUACUUAGAGGAGUACCAAAAGCGAAGGCAACUUACUGGAACUGUAUUGACGCUGAGGAACGAAAGCGUGGGUAGCGAAAAGGAUUAGAUA
rnacentral:rRNA from 1 species